rnacentral:rRNA from 1 species
GAUGAACGCUGGCGGCGUGCCUAAUACAUGCAAGUCGAGCGAACAGAUGAGGAGCUUGCUCCUCUGACGUUAGCGGCGGACGGGUGAGUAACACGUGGAUAACCUACCUAUAAGACUGGGAUAACUUCGGGAAACCGGAGCUAAUACCGGAUAAUUUAUUGAAUCGCAUGGUUCAAUAAUGAAAGACGGUUUUGCCGUAACUUAUGCGUGGAUCCGGGCCCCAUUGGCCAGUUGGUAAGGUAACGGCUUACCAAGGCAACGAAGCGUAGCCGACCUGACAGGGUGAUCGGCCACACUGGAAGUGAGACAGGGUCCAGACUCCUACGGGAGGCAGCAGUAGGGAAUCUUCCGCAAUGGGCGAAAGCCUGACGGAGCAACGCCGCGUGAGUGAUGAAGGUCUUCGGAUCGUAAAACUCUGUUAUUAGGGAAGAACAAAUGUGUAAGUAACUAUGCACGUCUUGACGGUACCUAAUCAGAAAGCCACGGCUAACUACGUG